AGUAUAAUACAUGUCCAGUUAAAUAAAUGGUAUUGAUCUCUACUUAUGGUAAACUGAAAAGCCUAAGGAUCAUUGACAUUCUCUCCAUUGGCUUUUUUCCCAAAAAACAUCUGUUCUAGAAGAUAGCGAUUUGUUAUGACAACCUGCUCUAUUCAUCAGGACUAGAAAGAAUCAGGCAUUUGUCAAUAUGCAUUCUGAGCAGUGUGCUGUUAGUGCAAGCUGUGUAUUGUCGAUGAAAAUUAAUCUGCAUCAUCAGAUCCUUGUUGCACUAAAUACUGCACAGCAUUUACAUCCAUUUUAUGGAAAUCACAAAAUGCAUGAAGAAAGGUUGUACUUUGUUAUGUAAAUGUUUGUCCAUUUCCUUCCAUACAUUGUAUGCUGGGAUGGACUUUGGGAGGCAUGAAAUAUAAAUGGUAAAGACAUGCAAGCACAUCAGUUCACAUGAAUUCUAGCCUAUCUUAGUUAUUAAGGGUUGCUGAGUUUUAUCCAGACACUAGUGGUGUGAAAAUAUUCCAUAUUUUACUCUAGUAACCAAGAGUAAAGUGAAUUAGCUACACAAAUAACAUAUUAUCUCGCUAGUAUAUCUCUCCAGUUGCCUGUGUGUAUCCUCAGACAGCUCCGUGUGUUUCCAUGUCUAACAGGGUCAUCAGGCCGUCUCUGUUGAGACUCCUUGACAUGCACUAACUUCUUUGAUCACUGCACAAUGGGAGAAGCCGGUUCAGAGGCCAGCAGCAGCUCAUCCAGGUGUCUGCCUGGAAAUACUUGUGCCACUGUCAAAUCACAACUGGGGAGCAAACAACAUGCACCUGUCUUCCAGAGAGGACAGAGUGCAAGCAUCCCAAAUGCCCAUGUUUAAAGGAGAACUGGAUAUUGGCAAACAGAGGUUACCCCUGCUUUCCUGUCCUUCUGAGUUCUUCGAAUUCUCAAGGUCAUCAGCAGUCGUUCUACAUCGCCUUCAACAUGGUUACAUCAUAUGCCUUUCGAUUCUACUUCUAUUCCUUGCAAGAAUAAACACCAUAUUGUUUCAACUAAGACAAUCAUACAUUUACUUACCUGAAAUGUGAGGAGUCCUCAAGAUGUUCCUGGAAACAGCAUGUUGUGAAAGAACUAUGGUUGGAUUUCAAAUCCUUUCUGCAUCCACAGGAAAGUCUUUGAAUUCAAUUCCCCGUGACUUUUUUGAAGUAUCGUCAUACUACAAAGAAAAGAUACAUUAGAAGUUAUAAUAGACACAUUACUAGAGACUAGCUGGUCCUAAAUGACUUGACUCACAGGUAAGGUGACUGUGUACAGUGCCAGGGCAGGCAGCAUUUCCUUCAAGAGGUCGUAAAUACUUUGUUUUAAAGGCCAUGUAUUAUACAUCACAAUGAUUCAAGUUUCCAUUGAAGCUCCAAAGUAGUCCUUGUAUGACAGCUUGCCAAACCCUGUCUUUGUGGAAAAGAACAACAGGAACAGAAGAUGAUUUACAGCCAAGACAGAGGUAAAUACUGGAAUAAGUAGCCUGAGGAAGUAUGCUAACAAAUCUAAAAAUGCUUUGAUCAUUUUAUUAUUAAAAUUUUAUCUAGGUAAAAGAAAAAUCUGUGGCAAUAUAUAGUAUAUAGUUCAAUACAAAUGACUCAAUUUAAUAAAGAAAAGUAAAUUAAAAGCCA
rnacentral:lncRNA from 1 species